GUUGAACUAUGGAACACUCUACCGUCUCAUGUCAAAUCCUCCAAUUCUUUAAGUAUUUUCAAGUCUCAUCUUCAUAAGUUGUAUUCUACUAAGUUAUCGCAUUACGUACCUCCGGGCACUGCGUGAUCAGCGUCUACACAUUGCGAUUUGUUGAACCAUCAUCCGGCCAUUUUCAUCAUAUUUACAAAUAUGUUAUAAAUUGACUCGUGAUUUCCAAAUUGAUUUUGAAGAAUUCAUAAUUGUAAUCUGCACAGUGGGUAAGUCGCAGUGUGUAAACGUUCAGUACUUUUAUAGUCACGAUUCAAACCUUAGCUAGUAUAAGUUGUUAUAACUAAUGUGUUAUAACCUGUUCUUUAUCUUUAUUUAUAUUUAACGUCUUUUUAGGGGUUAGGUGUCAAUUGAGACGAGAGUCCUGUUCUUUUCCCCUGUCACGAUUUGUAUCUG